GUUUCCUUCUUGAUCCUUCACAAGGGAAGAUUUCCUUUUUUAGAGGUACAGAUUCCCCUUGGUCAAGUCCUGAUUAACACUCCAGUUAAGAGAUUAGUAAACCUUGGUUAGUGAAGUGGCAUCAGGAAGCGCCUACAUUUUCAUGGCCUGGUAGUGUUCAGUGAAAAUGUUUGUUAACAGACACAGGCCAUUCAGUCCGGAAUCCCAAGACACUGAAGACUCUGUUUGAAUCGGACUCACGGGUUCCUUCCUAGCCACUCUCAGGAACAGGAAUGCUUCUGGUGAAGAAGUUUUUGGUGGCAGUUCAUGGAGCUUCCCUACACCAACUUGGAAAUGGCAUUCAUUUUAUUGGCUUUUGUUAUCUUUUCCUUAUUUACCCUGGCUUCCAUCUACACUACUCCGGAUGACAGUAAUGAAGAGGAAGAACAUGAAAUAAAGGGAAGGGAGAAGAAAAGGAAAAAAUCUGAAGAGAAGAAAAAUUGCUCGGAGGAAGAGCAUAGAAUUGAAGCUGUUGAGCUAUGAUCUCAUAGCCACCAAUAUUUCUCGCUAAGACAGAAAAAGCAAUCCAUGGGAGUUACUUAUCCACAGUAAACAAGAAGCGGGGAUAAUGACGAAAGUUAAAAUCACUUACUGAUUCAACACGAUGAUAAUAACCAGUAAUGAACGCAAUACUUGGGAAAGGUACUUCACAACAUUUCUGGCACUCAGCAUUAUCCAAAAUAUCUAUUCAGAGCUAUAAACCAUUCUAGCUGCAAUGGAUUGUAC